rnacentral:miRNA from 1 species
AAGCCUAACCAGGAUGGCUGUGAAUUGGCUUAAUCUCAGCUGGCAACUGUGAGCAAUUAAUAAAUUCUCUCACAGUGGUAUCUGGGAUUAUGCUAAACACAGCAAUUUCUUUGCUCUAGUGGAUCAAUGGACCUCCGCUGCCAGCUAAGU